rnacentral:rRNA from 1 species
UGCCAGCAGCCGCGGUAACACGGGGGGGGCAAGCGUUGUCCGGAAUUAUUGGGCGUAAAGGGCGCGUAGGCGGGCUGAUCAGUCUGUGGUGAAAGUUUGCGGCUUAACCGUAAAAUUGCCUUGGAUACUGUCAGUCUUGAGUUCGGAAGAGGAAAGUGGAAUUCCUGGUGUAGCGGUGAAAUGCGUAGAUAUCAGGAAGAACACCGGUGGCGAAGGCGGCUUUCUGGUCCGAAACUGACGCUGAGGCGCGAAAGUGUGGGGAGCGAACAGGAUUAGAUA